AUGGUUUCUGGCCGUUCUCUGCUCGCUGUGAUCUUCAUUUCUAUUCAGGGAUCCUGUGGAGAGAUUGUGGUGACCCAAUCUCCAGAUUAUAUGUCUGUGUCCCCAGGAGAUACAGUCACCAUGUCAUGUACAGCCAGUGGAAAUAUAGGCUGGAACUUAGCCUGGUACCAACAGAAACCGGGGAAAUCUCCAAAACUUCUUAUCAAAGCAGGAGAUGAACGAUUCACAGGAAUCCCAGAGAGGUUCAGUGGAUCUAGAUCAGGAACUAAUUACAAAUUAACAAUAACACAAGUGACAGUAGAUGAUAUAGCAGAUUAUUACUGUCAGCAGUAUAGCAGUUUACCUCUCACACACUGA